CUGAGAGUGUGUGCAUCCAGGCUGAGGUAGUAGGUUGUAUGGUUUAGAAUUUUGCCCUGGGAGUUAACUGUACAACCUUCUAGCUUUCCUUGGAGCUCACAAGCCAG
ensembl:miRNA mirlet7c-1 microRNA let7c-1